GAUGAACGCUGGCGGCGUGCCUAAUACAUGCAAGUCGAGCGAACAGAUAAGGAGCUUGCUCCUUUGACGUUAGCGGCGGACGGGUGAGUAACACGUGGGUAACCUACCUAUAAGACUGGAAUAACUCCGGGAAACCGGGGCUAAUGCCGGAUAACAUUUAGAACCGCAUGGUUCUAAAGUGAAAGGUGGUUUUGCUACCACUUAUAGAUGGACCCGCGCCGUAUUAGCUAGUUGGUAAGGUAACGGCUUACCAAGGCAACGAUACGUAGCCGACCUGAGAGGGUGAUCGGCCACACUGGAACUGAGACACGGUCCAGACUCCUACGGGAGGCAGCAGUAGGGAAUCUUCCGCAAUGGGCGAAAGCCUGACGGAGCAACGCCGCGUGAGUGAUGAAGGUCUUCGGAUCGUAAAACUCUGUUAUUAGGGAAGAACAAAUGUGUAAGUAACUGUGCACGUCUUGACGGUACCUAAUCAGAAAGCCACGGCUAACUACGUG
rnacentral:rRNA from 1 species